ACACGGAGGAUGCAAGCGUUAUCCGGAUUUGUUGGGUUUAAAGGGUGCGUAGGCGGAUGAUUAAGCGUGAGGUGAAAUGCCACUGCUCAACAGUGGAACUGCCUCGCGAACUGGUUGUCUUGAAUGCUCCUGCCGUGGGAGGAAUGUGUGGUGUAGCGGUGAAAUGCAUAGAGAUCACACAGAACACCGAUUGCGAAGGCAGCUCACGAAGGGGUGAUUGACGCUGAGGCACGAAAGCGUGGGGAUCAAACAGGAUUAGAUACCCUGGUAGUCCACGCAGUAAACGAUGAUAACUAACCGCUGGGUCGUAGUGAUUCAGUGGCCAAGCGAAAGCGAUAAGUUAUCCACCUGGGGAGUACGACCGCAAGGUUGAAACUCAAAUGAAUUGGCGGGG
rnacentral:rRNA from 1 species